AUUGAACGCUGGCGGCAGGCCUAACACAUGCAAGUCGAGCGGAUGAAGAGAGCUUGCUCUCUGAUUUAGCGGCGGACGGGUGAGUAAUGCCUAGGAAUCUGCCUGGUAGUGGGGGAUAACGUUCCGAAAGGAACGCUAAUACCGCAUACGUCCUACGGGAGAAAGCAGGGGACCUUCGGGCCUUGCGCUAUCAGAUGAGCCUAGGUCGGAUUAGCUAGUUGGUGGGGUAAAGGCUCACCAAGGCGACGAUCCGUAACUGGUCUGAGAGGAUGAUCAGUCACACUGGAACUGAGACACGGUCCAGACUCCUACGGGAGGCAGCAGUGGGGAAUAUUGGACAAUGGGCGAAAGCCUGAUCCAGCCAUGCCGCGUGUGUGAAGAAGGUCUUCGGAUUGUAAAGCACUUUAAGUUGGGAGGAAGGGUUGUAACCUAAUACGUUGCAAUUUUGACGUUACCGACAGAAUAAGCACCGGCUAACUUCC
rnacentral:rRNA from 1 species